rnacentral:rRNA from 1 species
UACGAAGGGGGCUAGCGUUGCUCGGAAUCACUGGGCGUAAAGGGUGCGUAGGCGGGUCUUUUAAGUCAGGGGUGAAAUCCUGGAGCUCAACUCCAGAACUGCCUUUGAUACUGAAGAUCUUGAGUUCGGGAGAGGUGAGUGGAACUGCGAGUGUAGAGGUGAAAUUCGUAGAUAUUCGCGAGAACACCAGUGGCGAAGGCGGCUCACUGGCCCGAGUACUGACGCUGAGGCACGAAAGCGUGGGGAGCAAGCAGGAUAGAAACCCGGGUACCAGACAACG